rnacentral:tRNA from 1 species
GGAGAGAUGUCCGAGUGGUUUAAGGAGCUGGUCUUGAAAACCAGUGACCGGGCAACCGGCCGGGGGUUCGAAUCCCUCUCUCUCCGCCA